rnacentral:rRNA from 1 species
CCCUAUGGGGUGCAGCAGGUUGAAGAUCAUCAAACUUAAAUUAAUAAAAAGGAAGUAUAGCGUAAAGUUAUAAGGCGUCGGCAAAAAAUCGAAGCGCGCAUUGUUUGGCUGCAGCCAGCCGAACCGCAAUGGGAUGGCCGCCAGGAAGGCGAGAAAGAAAUUCGCCAGCGGGCCGGAGAUCGCAACCAGCAUCAAUCCGGAUGAAGAGUGUUGGCGGAUUUUCUGCGGGUUGAUCGGCACCGGUUUGGCCCACCCGAAUCCGGUCAUGACCAGCAUCAGGCUGCCCAUGAUAUCCAGAUGGCUCAAAGGAUUCAAGGUCAGGCGGCCGAACAGCCGCGGCGUAUCGUCGCCGAAGCGCGUGGCUGUCCAGGCGUGUGCGAACUCGUGAAAGGUGAAUGCGAUCAUAAGGGUAACGAUCGCAGAGACGAUAUUGGCGGGGGGGC